UAAUACGGGGGGUGCGAGCGUUGUCCGGAUUCACUGGGCGUAAAGGGCGCGUAGGCGGCUCGGUCAGUCCGGCCUUUAAGAGCGGGGCUCACCCCCGUGGGGGGUCGGGGACGGCCGAGCUGGGGCGCGGCAGAGGGGGACGGAAUGCCGGGUGUAGUGGUGAAAUGCGUAGAGAUCCGGCGGAACACCGGUGGUGAAGACGGUCCCCUGGGCCGAGGCCGACGCUGAGGCGCGAGAGCGCGGGGAGCGAACCGGAUUAGAUACCCGGGUAGUCCGCGCCGUAAACGGUGGGCACUAGGUGUGGCGGGUAUCGACCCCCGCCGUGCCGUCGCGAACGCAUGGAGUGCCCCGCCUGGGGAGUACGGCCGCAAGGCUA
rnacentral:rRNA from 1 species